AUUGAACGCUGGCGGCAGGCCUAACACAUGCAAGUCGAGCGAGGUUUUCGGACCUAGCGGCGGACGGGUGAGUAAUGCGUAGGAAGCUACCCGAUAGAGGGGGAUACCAGUUGGAAACGACUGUUAAUACCGCAUAAUGUCUACGGACCAAAGUGUGGGACCUUCGGGCCACAUGCUAUCGGAUGCGCCUACGUGGGAUUAGCUAGUUGGUGGGGUAAUGGCUCACCAAGGCGACGAUCCCUAGCUGGUUUGAGAGGAUGAUCAGCCACACUGGAACUGAGACACGGUCCAGACUCCUAUGGGAGGCAGCAGUGGGGAAUAUUGGACAAUGGGCGCAAGCCUGAUCCAGCCAUGCCGCGUGUGUGAAGAAGGCCUUCGGGUUGUGAAGCACUUUCAGUAGGGAGGAAGGGUGUUGUGUUAAUAGCACAGCAUUUUGACGUUACCUACAGAAGAAGCACCGGCUAACUCUGUGCCAGCCGCCGCCGUAACAC
rnacentral:rRNA from 1 species